AAGUCUUCUUGGAGUGUCAGCUAAGAUCACGUGCAGUAUCUGUUCUUAUCAGUUAAUAUCUGAUACAUUCUCCAUUCAAGAACAAUAUAUUAAAUGGAGUUUUGGAAAUAGGAGAUGGAAUAGGAGCUUGUCACGUCCACACAUUGACCUGGUAUGGUAGUAACUUCAGGAAUGGUGUAUCCCCU
ensembl:snRNA U2 U2 spliceosomal RNA